AGAGAGACAGCAGGGUUAGUAACAUCUUCUGCCUCCUGAUAUUAUCCAUGAAUAAUAUUCUUAAUUUCCAAAAUACCCUGUGACAGAAAGAGGUGGCUUUAAAAAAAAAAAUCUACCAGAAAUUGGGCAGACCCAAAUUUCACUCCUUCUUUCUUCUGUGUCCUUUCACCACUAUCACCCCGGACAAAAGUUCACAGCUGACUAGCAAUGUCUGUAAAUUGCAGAUCCUUAACUGCUAGUUUUAGCCUCUGUUGAGCUCCCAAAUGGGAUGGUGUUGCUUGAUGGGGUCAUCUAUUUACUUAAAACAGGACUGGGAUCAAAAGUUCAUUUUCAUUGACCAUUAAAGGGCAAUGAUAUAUUAACAACUUCAGCCACUGCUGGGCUGGAUGUGACUCGUAGGUGACUGACACCAUAUGCCAGCCACCCUAUUUCUUACAAGAUUUAUUUCAAGCCCCUUCCCUACACCUCUAAAGGAAUAUGGAAACAGCCAUCUUCUGUAUCAAUCUAGAAGGUGUACCUGUAGGCAAUCUUAGACACAUUAUCUUCCCCUUAGAGGUCACUGGUGAUUUAUUACAGCAUAUUUACUUCCCACCAGCCACUUGGAUUUGCUUCAAUGAAUCAGUAACACUCAAUUUCUGACUAACAAAGUCUUACUCAUAUUCCAAAUUGCUGGCCACAAGAAAAACAUUGUUAGCCUCUCAGGUAGGCUUACUGCUUAUGGAGAAUUAAAUACUAAAGCCAGCAUUUGUGAGGUAGACAGAGCAGGAAUGAGAGGGAAAAAAAAUGGGAAAAAAUGAAAAUGUAAGCUAUUUCCAGGUCUUCAGACAGCAGAACUGAAAAUGUGAGCAACGGCAAUUCACAUUGCUACCAAAAGACAGCCCCCUGGAAAGUGGAAGAAAUGCAUCAGUGAAUGAUUUUUGGUGUAAAAGCCUGAGUUAAGUUAUAAUUUAGUCUUUCAAAUUAUUUGACUGUGUUCAAUACAGACUUAAAGCAAAUUUGUACAGAAGUGCGAAGUCUUAACCAAAUAAGCACACUUGGAGCACACAGCUGACACACAUCUGCUGAAAGCUCAGUGUCUACCUAUGAAAAAUGCAAUGUGAUUUUUUUUUUCAUGGCAUAUUGAAACAUUCAAGAAAGUGAGGGCCCAAGCCCUCUCUCCACACAACCAACAAGUGCCCACCCCGCGCCAAGAAGACAUGCUUGAGCCCUGUCUGCUCCGUUCUUCCCAGGCAGAGCAGCUCCUGCCCUCUCCAAAGCCAGGCCCUUUGGUCACUGAUGGCACACUGUAAGGCCUUUUCUCAAGGUGUGGCAUGUUGUGACUACCCCAUCCAACCCAUUAUGAAAUGCCAAGGACUUGUGUAGUCUGGUACCAGAUCCCUCCUCAUCUGGGAAAAAACAACAAAAAAAACCUGUCAGAAAUCUGGGAGGGAAGAAGUGCCUGGGCAGCACCAGCACGGCUUAAGGGACUUCUGCCACGGUCUGUAGAUCACACAAGUGUACGGUGGCACCCAUUAACUGCUUUCAGCAUAACAAUGGCUCUUUCUCAUCUCUGCCCAUCCUCUCUGUCCCAGUUAAAUGAGCUGUUUCCCAGACAAAUAAAAGACUGGAGAGACUGCCUUCAGCAGGGGUAGAAGGCUGGGGAUUCGGAUGGGAGCCUCCGGGCACAGCUGGGAGCCAGGGCUACCCAUGGGCAACAAGGGGACAGGAGAGCCUGCUACAAGGAAUAGAGAUGCAGGGAGCAUGAGACAGCGUGAAACUACAUUCACUCUCUGCCCAGGGGUCUGUGGGAGCAGGGGGAAACCACUGGCAGCACAGUGCAUAGCCACUCCUGGGGACAAGAGGACAGCAAAGGAGGGCCGGAAGCUGACAUGAGGUGGGCCUCACACCAUCCCAGAACCACUUCAGGAGCCGCAAAGUCUGCAAGUGCCAGGUUUCUGCCGUCCUCACUUGCAGUUUCCUCAGUUUAGCUGUCAAAAGGCACUGAGCAGGCAAGAGGGCAGCCACAGUGCAUCUGAGCUGGAAGCUUCUUCUGAAAUCUCGGUGCCUUCUCCAGCCUUUGGGGAAAACAAGUCUCCCUCUCAGCCAGAGGGCUCA
rnacentral:lncRNA from 1 species